UUUUAUUUGUAUUUGUUAACAGUUUGUUUUUAAUUUUGAAAUUUUAUUUUGUAUAUAAGACAGACCUAGAAACGGUCAAUUUUAAUGAUAAGUAAAAUAGCUUAAUGCCCAAGUUUAUUUUUUUAAGAUAUGGUAGAUGCCAGAGCAAUAAACUUCUAUUAACAAUAGUACAGGCAUCUUGUUACGACUUGAUGUGCACAUUUAAUUAGAUGUUUUUAUUUUGAUAAUUUGAAAGUUUUGUACAAAUCACAUAAUUAUUCUCUAUCCCUUGUAUUAGGAGUCUAAAGACCAGCCAAGUAGUGAGACAUGUUUUGUGUUAAAAAAUAAGAUUACCGGUUUAAUCAUAAUAUUUAUAAUGAAGUUUUCUUUCAUACUUACAGAAGAUAAAGAAAAUAAAUUUGAUAUUCCAAGUCCUGAUUACAUUGAAAGAAUAGGUGAAACAGGAUUAUUAAACACUUACUACUGCAUAAAACAUUUCAAACCAAUCUCUAAAUUAUAUAUUGAAGUGUUUUCUAUAGUAAUAUCAUAAAGGAGUAAGUUCGGUAAGGGCCAUAUUUGGCCCCGAUUAUAAAAUUGAAUGGUACAAGAUAAAAUAUGUUUUAAGUUGUCUCAAAGACAUGUGAGAAAGUAAACUAGAACUCUUUGUGUCAAAGUUUUAUUCUAAAGCGUUGAUUUUUAUAUCCAAAGUAGGUCAAAAUAAGAGAGUUUGACGAAAUAUGACAAAAUUGGCCAGAUUUCAACCAAAUUUAGGACCAGCAAACAUAGAGCGCAGGCAUCGGUAAACUUAAUAUUCAAGUUAUCCAUUCAAAAUAUCAUUAUAAACAAUGUGUUCAAAGAUCUUUUUUGUCGACGUAUGCGCUCUAUGUUUCCUGUCCAAUAAUCAAUGCAAAAUUUACCAAUUUUCAUUGAUUUUCAUAGAAAAUAGAAAUGAAUACUGUUUUUGACAUCAUCAGUAGAACGCAGGAACGUAAAUUUUCAAAAAAAGGGAUCAUUUCCUAUUUAGUCAUUGUGAUAUUGGUCAAUAAAUUCUAAUUUAAAAUUUAAGGUAAAAAAGAGGGCCAUUUUAGGGCCUUAUAGAACCUACUCCUUUAUGACUGAGUUUCACAAAUUAUUUAUCAAUUGCUGCAUAGGCGAAUUACAAGAUAAACUUGCAAUGUAUAACUUCAUGGGUUGUCACUAUAAUCAAGGGAGAUAACUAUUAUGAUAAUGAGAGACAAUUGUUGAUAAAAACUUAGUUCUUUUUGUUACUGGUAUUUUAGCAAAACAUUUCACAUUUGUUGCAAUAAUUAAAUUUUUUAUUACCCAUUUACUGUGAAAUUGAGAAAAAAAACAUGAAAUAACAAAGAAAUUCUGUAAUGCUUUAAUGAAAGAUAUUGAAAUUGUCAAUGAAGUUUAUUGCUCUGUGUAAAUGGAAAAGUAUCCAUAAUAAAAUUCUAAGAUUAAAGUAUAAUUAGGGUAUUUGUAAAACAGUUGUCUAUUACUUGAACAGUUCUAACAAGAAAAUAUUUCCUACUAAGGUAAUUAAUCAUAGGUACGUCUGGUGAUAGUUUUAUAAAUGUUUAUCAGUGUUUCCUUGUUAUAUUUUCCAGUUAUGGAAGGAAAAAGGUAGACUAAAAAUGUUUUGUUAUUUAAAUUCUUAUUCUCAGUACUGUUCCAACAGUUUGAUUUAUCAAAAAUAUCAGAGGAUUUCUUUUAAAUUGAAUUUGUUUUGAGUAAUGAUAUAUUAUAACUUACCAUUGUUUUAACAUUAUAAUUUUACAACAGAUUAUGAGACAGUUUACAAAUUUAAAAACAGUUGUAACAAGUUAUUGCAUACAUUUUCAUCAUACAUGUACAUCACAACUAUCAUGGUCAUUAA
rnacentral:lncRNA from 1 species